UUCUUGUCUUCUUUAGAAAUCAUAUUCCCUGCAUGUAACAUUUAAUUAAAAACCAAUCAAAAUCUAGACAAAAUUAAGACUAAUAACCAUUUGAAAUGAAGUAUAAUUUGAAAUCUCAAAUGCCUACUAAACUCCUCUUAAGGAACUUUUCCUUAUGAAAAAUUUCAAAGAGAAGGGCACAUAGCACAAUUUCUGGCCUUGUUAUAAGCUCCCAACAUAUCAUUCAGAAAUUCUAAAAUGUGGAAAAACUCUGGGUGAUUCAUAAAUAAUGUUACUUAUGUAGAAAAUCUCAGCACAUUAAGGAGCAUGACCAAAAAUAUUAACAUACAUUUACCAUAGAUUCUUUGUCUGAGUCUCUUUUCCCUUCAGUCAGUGGCUUUAUGUUGAGUUCAUCAGUCAUGGCUGAGACUUCUAAAAAGACAACUCCAAAUUAUUAAGGAUUAGGACAGCGCUCCAGAAUUUUUUCAGGAGUUCAAGUGGAAUUGAAAACAGUGAAUAAGUGUAUGAGUAAUGGUGAUGAAGAAUUCCUCUAACAUAUUCCUGUACUUUUUUAACUGAAAACUUUCUGAGAGAUCUAAAAAGUCCAGAUAUCAUGGAAAGGGAGAACUUCUGGUGAAAGCUUGGCAUGCAAGCUCUGAGCCACUGGAAUUGGGAGGCACGACUGAUCUUGCAG